AUUCCAGCUCCAAUAGCGUAUAUUAAAGUUGUUGCAGUUAAAAAGCUCGUAGUCGGAUUUUGGCAUCACGCCGAACUGUCUGCCGAUUGGUAAGUACGGUUUGGCGGGUGCUUCCUUCCGGAGGCUCGUUCCCUUCUUCAUUGAAGGGUUCGUUGGUUCCGGGUCUUUUACUUUGAGAAAAUUAGAGUGUUCAAAGCAGGCCUAUGCUCUGAAUAGGUUAGCAUGGAAUAAUAGAAUAGGACUUUGGUUCUAUUUUGUUGGUUUCUAGGACCGAAGUAAUGAUUAAUAGGGAUAGUCGGGGGCAUUCGUAUUCCGCCGAGAGAGGUGAAAUUCUCAGACCAGCGGAAGACGAACCACUGCGAAAGCAUUUGCCAGGGAUGUUUUCAUUG
rnacentral:rRNA from 1 species